UACGAAGGGGGCUAGCGUUGCUCGGAAUCACUGGGCGUAAAGCGCACGUAGGCGGAUCUUUAAGUCAGGGGUGAAAUCCUGGAGCUCAACUCCAGAACUGCCUUUGAUACUGGGGAUCUCGAGUCCGGGAGAGGUGAGUGGAACUGCGGGUGUAGAGGUGAAAUUCGUAGAUAUUCGCAAGAACACCAGUGGCGAAGGCGGCUCACUGGCCCGGUACUGACGCUGAGGUGCGAAAGCGUGGGGAGCGAACAGG
rnacentral:rRNA from 1 species